GGCAACCCUAACUCGCACAGCGUCCUGAUUUACAGCCCAAUCCAUUACUCAAGAGUAAAUGAAACAAGGUUUACAGGUAAGCGUGCAGAACACCGCCUGCAGCCGAUCUCUUUUAGGCUGCAAGGCUCCAAGCGGCCGUAAAGAAGAAGCGGCCCCAAUCCCGGCGCCCCCAAGAGGCAGAAACAAAACGCUUUGCGCAUUAGCAAUGUACUUUCACCUCGCCACAUCCUCCGCAUCCUACGCGGCUUCCGACGGAAAGGGGCGGGUCUUGACGCGUCACAAUGGGCAUAAAUAGAGCUGGAGAAAGCGGCUCCGGCCUUUUCGCUGCAAGGACGGGGAGAUGGGGAAGGUGAGUGCCGCUUGUCCUUAUUUUGAGAAGGGAUUUACCUGGGGAGGGGAAAGAAACGGGAACCCUGCGUGGUUGGGGGAAGCAAAGACCGAUCUCGGGAAGUCGUCCUGUGCAGGCGAGGACAAAGUCAGGACAUUUCCUCUGGGCCGGUUGCUGCCCUAUGGAGAUCCGCGGGGCUUUACUCCCCGGUAAAAUUGAAAUAAAAAAUUUGCAGCAUCAGCACCACGCGUCACCCGCAGGACCAGGAAAGCAGAACGGAAUAAUGUCCGGUAUAGUGUGGAUUGGUGGGGGGGGGGGAGGUCUUAGCGCACGCAAAAAGUCCGUAAUAAUACGCUAAAUAAUUGGGAAUAACGAUUGCCGUGGAUUUUCUUCUGCUCGCAGGCGCCGAAGUUUUUUGGAACUUCGUUCCCAAAAAAGCACGUGCCAUCACGGCGAAAAAGGGCAGGGAAAGGUUUUGCGUGCUUUUGAGCAGGGCCUAGUGGCUGAAAGUGGGAAGGACGUCCAACGUGCAGGGGGACCUCAAGAAUAUAGGAUACCGAGUUAUACAACUGCGCCCCCGUUAGGCUGAGGUACAGGCCACGUUAGUGUACAUUUUGCAAAAUGAUCCCCCACUUUUAAUUGCUUGCUAGUGCUUAACAUGGUGGCUUAAAAGUAUAUCUCCCCCCACCCCAUGCUCUCAGUUUCCUUUAUAUAGUCAAUGCUCUGCUCAGACUGGCUGAAUAUAGCUGGAGGGAGUUAUGCUCAUAGCAGAGCAUCUACUGCCAAGGGUGGAACUGGUAGUGGACUUUUGACUCCAGAACAAAGGUGGAUGGACUUUUGUGCUUUUGAUGACUCUCUAGGCAGUCCUAAAUCCUCUGAAAUGCGGCUGGUUUUUUUCUUCUCUUUAACUGGAGAAAGCCAUUGAGAAAGGGAACACUCCUGCCUAAUGCUGGCUGCUGUGAUGAUUCUUUUUUGGCGUGUUAGACUGCUGAUGCAGAUGACGAGACACAGAAUCUGAGCCUCCAGCGUAAAAUUGCAGAAGGCAGGUUGUGCUACCCUGCAGGUAGCUUCUUUAUGCUGCCGUACGUGGCCCCAUUAAGAUGCAUUCACAAGUGGGAGACAGAAUAAUGCUCCUCCGCUUUAGUGGCUAUGUUUCCACAAGCAAAUAUAUUCAUUACUGUUUACCAGUUGUAACUGGUAAGAGAAUGGCAAUGGCAGUGACUGGACUUUUAUCUUUGCUCUUGUUUGUUUAUGCUUGCAGUAUUAUGAAGAACCAAUCUUGUUUUAAAAGAAGUUAUGAUCAAAGAUUAAAUCUCCUUUCAGCCAUAAUUAAGAGAAUUACAUUGCUUAUGGAAUGACUGGCUUGGCUGUGAUAAUUAUCUUGCAGCAAUCUGGCUGGCACUAUUUGCUGCACACCUGUGCGCUGUUGCAAAAGGAGAGCAGGCAUGCAAGCUGUGUACAAAAUUGCUCCAUGUUGUCGUUCCUCAGUCUAAACUCUAUGCCUUUUCUUUUUUUGCAGGCUAGUGUCUUCCUUUUCCUCGUGGAAAGAAAACUACAUGAAGGAGCUGUUGCUCUUCGACUAAAGCUGCUGUGGGGAUGCACUAUUUUAAAAUAAAAUAAUAAAAUAAAAAACUAUUGUGUGUCUCUUUUCUCUGUUGACUUUGAAGCACUGCCUUUGAACUGGUGCAUGGCCAAUUCCAUGGCCUCACUGGCUACGCUACAGUGCAAAAGUAAAGGACUUGCUUAUAACUGGUGCUGCUCAGCUGAAAUCUGAGUGGUUCUUUUAAGGGCAAGUUACAUUUUAUCUGAUGAUUAAAUACUACAAUCCAGAACUGCAUCAAGGGUUGCAAAUACCGUAGACAGUUGGCAUUGUAUACCAGAACUUACUGGGUUUCAGCUUGCCUUUGGUUUAUUUGACCUGACUAUUAUACCCCUGGAGUCCACAAUAGUGUCAUUUUUGUUUUAUGUGACACACACACCCCAACAAAGAAUGUUUCUGGGAAUGUUAGAGGCUUCCAUUUGGGCAGAGGCUUAGGACAAUACAUGUGCAGACUAACAACACAUAAUUUGCGUAAUAAAUUGUAGAACUUUGAAUCCUCCCCAUGCCUGGAAAGUGUAAUGAACUAAGGCGUUCAUGACAAAACAAUGGUUCUCAUACCAUCCCUUUCAGGAGCCUACAGCAAAGGUUUAAAAAUUAACUACAUUUCCUGAAAGAUGCAAUAAUACUUUUAAAAAUCCUCAUUAAAAACUUGGGGCAUUAAGUAAAUGCCAGUCUGGAUUAUACAGGGCACAGGUAGUCCUGAUAUACAGUCAUGCCUUGGAAGUCGAACAGAAUCCGUUCUGGAAGUCUGACUUCCAAAAUGUUUGAACGGCAAAUCACGGCUUCUGAUUGGCUGCAGGAAGCUCCUGCAGCCUAUCGGAAGCCCCGUCAGACAUUCAGGUUCCAAAAGAACAUUCACAAACCAGAACAAUUGUCUCCAGGUUUGUGGCAUUUGGGAGCCAAAACGGCCAAGAUCCAGGGCUUUUGGGAUCCAAGGUGCGAAUGUAGUGGCGUCACUCUUAGUUUGGUAUUGGUUAUUGAAAGUGUGUGCUAUAUGAAUCAUAAUUAAGCUAUGAAAUCUGGCAUUGUCUAAAUGUCACUUUUAAAAGGGUAAGAUACAGCCUAUAAGGGCCCCCUGUGCCUAAAGCUAGCUGAAAGUACCCAAAGGCCAAGUUUGCAAACUGGAUUUUUACUAGAUCUGCCAACCACACAAAUGGAGGCUGUUCUUUGUAUAGUGCAGUGAUGGCGGACCUUUUAGAGACCAAAGGACCCAAACUGCAACCCCAAAGUGCCAACACAGGAAUUUACCGUAACCUGUAUAUUUCAUUUUUUCUGUGUGCUUCACAUUUCUUUAUGACUGCUGUUGUAAUAAAUAAUCCUUCAUGAAAGUUACUGCAUUACAAUCUUUAUUAAAUUAUAUUGCCAUUGAUACAUAAUUUUAUGGUAUAACUCUUUCUCUAAAAAAAUGUUUAGGGGUGCUCUCAUUUUGACUCCAGAAAAUCACUGCGGGCGGGGGAAAUAAAAAAAAUAGUUAAAAUUGGGGAAAAUAAAUACAGUUGUACCUCAGUUUUCGAACAGCUUAGUUCUUGAAUUACUUGGAACAUGAACACUUCAAACCAGGAAAUGAGUGUUUUGGUUUUGGAACUUUCCAGAAGCCAGAAGCGGAGUAUAACUUACAUUUUCCUAGUGAGGAAAGGUGGGCCGGGCGACAAGUGAGCAGGCACCUGCUGCCUUCCAGGGCUGGGUCCCUCUGCCUCCACCACAACUGCAACCACCCCCUCCUCCAGCUCUGUUGCUGCUUGCACGGGAACAGGAGCUGGAUUGGGGCUGCUCAGCUGGGGAGGUGCAGGCUCCGUGGCUGCACUCCCCUCAAGGGAGAGGUUUAAAGGAGCCCCCACCUCUGCAUC